UACGUAGGGCGCGAGCGUUGUCCGGAAUUAUUGGGCGUAAAGAGCUCGUAGGUGGUUUGUUGCGUCUGCCGUGAAAACCCGAGGCUUAACCUCGUGGCUUGCGGUGGAUACGGGCAGACUUGAGGUAGGUAGGGGAGAAUGGAAUUCCCGGUGUAGCGGUGAAAUGCGCGGAUAUCGGGAGGAACACCGGUGGCGAAGGCGGUUCUCUGGGCCUUACCUGACGCUGAGGAGCGAAAGCGUGGGGAGCGAACAGG
rnacentral:rRNA from 1 species